rnacentral:rRNA from 1 species
ACACUCCUACGGGAGGCAGCAGUGGGGAAUAUUGCACAAUGGGCGCAAGCCUGAUGCAGCCAUGCCGCGUGUAUGAAGAAGGCCUUCGGGUUGUAAAGUACUUUCAGUGGGGAGGAAGGCGAUAAGGUUAAUAACCUUGUUGAUUGACGUUACCCGCAGAAGAAGCACCGGCUAACUCCGUGCCAGCAGCCGCGGUAAUACGGAGGGUGCAAGCGUUAAUCGGAAUUACUGGGCGUAAAGCGCACGCAGGCGGUCUGUCAAGUCGGAUGUGAAAUCCCCGGGCUCAACCUGGGAACUGCAUUCGAAACUGGCAGGCUAGAGUCUUGUAGAGGGGGGUAGAAUUCCAGGUGUAGCGGUGAAAUGCGUAGAGAUCUGGAGGAAUACCGGUGGCGAAGGCGGCCCCCUGGACAAAGACUGACGCUCAGGUGCGAAAGCGUGGGGAGCAAACAGGAUUAGAUACCCUUGUAGUCCCAUGA